UGAAAAGCUACGGUCUUGUCCAUGAAGACUGCUUAACUAAGAUGAGGUUGAUUUCCUUGAUGGAUCUUGGUUCUGAUGAAUCUGGACGGAUUCCUUGCGGUGCUGUCAGAGAUAUUCUGGAGGUUAGGUUGGCUUACCUUUCUCGUCCCAGAAGUUUUAAUCUGACAUCAUGGUUAAUUAUGCUUCUGCACUUCUUUUUGGCAGAUUAAUGAUAACGAAGUUGAACUUUGGGUGGUAAAGGCAAUAACUGCUAAGUUGAUGGACUGUAAAAUGGACCAGAUGAAUCAAGUGGUGACUGUGAGCCGCUGUACUGAGAGAGUAUUUGGGGAAGAACAAUGGCUUACACUAAGAACA